rnacentral:rRNA from 1 species
CAAUAGCGUAUAUUAAAGUUGUCGCAGUUAAAAAGCUCGUAGUUGGAUUUCUGGUCGGAAGCUCCUGUCCUCUGAUGAGCGUACAAGUGCGUCCUACCAUCCUUCUGUUAACCUUUAAGGCUUUCGCGGCUUUCUAGGGGCUCAGAUAUUUUACCUUGAGAAAAUUAGAGUGUUUCAGGCAGGCUAGCGCCGGAAUACAUUAGCAUGGAAUAAUGGAAUAGGACUUUUGCCUCUUCUGUUGGUCAUGAGGCUCGAGUAAUGAUUAAUAGGGAUAGCUGGGGGCAUUAGUACUUAACUGUCAGGGGUGAAAUUCUCGGAUUUGUUAAAAACUAACUUAUGCGAAAGCAUUUGCCAAGGAUGUUUUCAUUAA